ACAGCGGGUUCAUCACCUUACGAGGGACAGCAUUUCAUGUUAGCAACAAGCUAACAUAGCAUUUUACUGGAGCGUUAAACUCAGUGAACCUGCCUCGCGCCCAUCUCUCAUGAACUGGCAACGAGAUGUUUGUGUUCACUAUAUGUAACCCUGCCAACCACCAGGAGGGGGUGCUGUUUCACCCUUUACACAUGAACCCAAACUGCGAAGUAAUGACAAGUGGAAUUCUAUACAAUAUUAACUAUGUUAUACUUAUUGUACUUUUUUGAAAAUGCCUGAAUGGUGACCGGUCGGCCAUUUUGGAUGCGGUGGCGAAUUGUCCCAAUUUUACUGCCUAUAACCGCCAACCCUGAUGUGCAUUUUGACUUAGUCCACACUUCAUAGAGGGCACAGGGUGAGUUUUGGGACUGGACUCAGUCUGUGCCACCAGAACCUGAAGCUGGUCUGGUGGUUCUGCAGAACCAGCUGACACUUUGGACUCUGAUUGGUUUAAAUGGUUAAUGUUGAGGAAUCAGAUUCAGGCCGGUUCUAACUUGUUCUUCAUAACCGGCCUUUAAACUGCCAACCAAUCAGGAGCAACUUUAAUAAAUCUGAGAUUAAUCUAACUGAUGACAAGGAAAUAAAAAAAAAUCAUUGCCAAUAUUGCAGAUAAAGGUAAAAACAAAUUUCCAUUUUUAUUUGAAAAGUGAAAGAUAUAUUUAUCUGAUGAAUCAGAUCUCUGAUCAGUUUUUCUUAGAAAUUAACCAAUCUGUUCUCUUUUGUUUUCUUCAGAUUCAGUAGAGAUAGACUCUCUCGUCUCUCUCUGCAUCGCCUUUUCUCCUCGGUCAAACUGAGCAAGACUCGAACCGCCAGCCUUGACCGACUGGUUCCCCCGGUUCCUGACUGUCUUCCCAGCGACGGCAGGAACUCCUGCAGCCUGUGGAAGAAAUCUCCUUCUGCUCAGUCUCUCUGUGGGGCGCUGGGACUGCAAAUGAAGAAGUCGUCAUCAGUGCAGAGUUUUGGUUCUGAGGAGAUCAAGAGCUGCAGCGUAGAUCACAGACCAGCUGAUGAGCAGUAAAACAGCUGCUUGUAUCAGCUGACCACCGUCCCACCCAAUCAGACCUCAGUUUCCUCCCUGUCUGUCCAUCAAGCUUCUACAUCCAUGUCUGAGGUCAGAGGUCAUUGGUCGGUCCCGCUCAGGGAGAUCAGUUGGUCGGGUUCUUCAGGUCUGUUCUGAUGGACCGGUUCUGUUGGAAAUUAGUCGACCAUCAGAUCAGAGUUUUGGAAAAAGGCGAGCCGACUCUGAUAAUGAGCCACAGGGCAGAGCGAGCUUCCAAACUGGAAACCACUGAAACCAGUUUAGUUUGCAGCGCUGAAUGUAACUAAUAGAAUUAAUGGUACCUGAUUUUUUUUUUGGACAGUUUUGAGUCAGCUCACCUUUCUGAGUUAUCAAAGUCCUAACUUCUUCCAAACCUUCGACAUGCGUCUUGGAUGCAGCAGCUCCACCAGCUGUUGCUAACGGGGCGGCGGCAGGAGUUUUUUUGUUUUUUAUGACCUGAACUUUAUUGAUUUUCCAAUAAAAAAAUAUACCCUAAUUCCACAUUUAGCAUAUUACAAUUUAGCAUAAGCUAAACAAUGUUUAGUCCUUGUAGGUUCUUCAGGCCAAUACAGUUAACAGAAAUUACUUGAACAAAAAAAAAAUUAAAAUAAAAUAAAUAAUAAAAGAAAAUUACAGUGAAAAUAGAGAAAAAAAGACAAGACGCAUAAACAUCAACUGAACAUUGACAUAAGCAAUAUAACAUAAAAUAACACUGCCCUAUAACCCCGAUACAUUCAGAUAAUUACAGCAUUACCGUAAAUUCCUCUAGUCUAAUUAUGUCCGAGCUGGAAAUGCCAUUUAACCCAUGCAUGACAAGUAGCUGGACCACUUCCUGUUGUACUCCUGAACCCCAUUUAACAGUCUAUAAGAUAAUCUCUCUAAGGCAGCAAGCUGCCCCAGUGACUUAUACCAAUGAGUGAGAGAAGGGACAGAUGGACCCCUCCACUCCCUCCCCAGCAUUACAGCUGUCAGUACCCACUGCGAGAGAGAGGAAGUCAGGUGAGCCAAUCAUUUUUUCUAUGACUUUGUGAACUGAUGACCAAUAAUCUUGGAUUUCUGGACAGUCCCAUAGCAUAUGUACCAGUGUGCCAUUAUCCUUUUGACACUUCCAACAACCCGAGGUUUCUGACAAGCCAACCCUGUAUAGUCUGUAUGGAGUCCAAUAAACUCUAUGUAGAAUCUUAAAUUGCACCAGUCUUGUUUUUAGUUCCCUCGAACUUUUCUUCCCAUUCCUAAGAAUUGAAAGCCAUUCCUCUUCUGUGAAACUAAGAUUUAGAUCUGUUUCCCAAGAACUCUUAAGAGACAUAAUAUUAGGAUCCAAGGCUGUCGACAACUGAAGCUUCAUGCCCAUCACCAAACACCUUCUUUAUAUCUGCCAGUGUGUUGCAGCUUACAGGAAUAAUAGUGGGGGAACCAAAAGUUUUAACCAGCAAAUGUCUUAAUUGUAAAUAUCUCCAGAAAUCUUGUCUGUGUAACUUAAAUUCCCCAACCAAUGUUUCAAAGGACUUCAAUGAGCCAUUCUCAUAUAAAUCUCCUAUCUCACAUAUUCCUUUUUGAAACCAGGACUUCCAAAAAAAGGGGGUUUUGCCUAUACAGAGUUUGGGGUUAUGCCAAAUACUAGCAGAUUUAUUGAGAUGUGGGUCAAAUUUAAAAAUCUGAGAUAUUUUUUUCCAUAGUCCCUUCAGAUGGGAGAGAACAGGAUGUGACUGAUUCUGAGGGGAGAGAUUAAUUGAUAGGCAGCUAGUCAAUGCAAAUGGUAGACACACCACACUCUCAAGAGAGAACCAGGGUGGGGCUCUCUCAGGGGGCAGAAACCAAUGUGCCAAAUGCCUGAAAGGAAAAGCAUAGUGGUAAUUAAGUAAAUUAGGCAUACCUAAACCCCCUCUGUCUACAGGUCUUUGUAGUUUUCGCAAAUUCAGCCUGGGUUUUUUCUUAUUCCAUAUGAACAAGUUACAGAUCUUAUCAAACUGUUUAAAAUAUAUUAUAGGGACAUGUACUGGUAGAGCCUGUAGCAGGUAGUUAAAUUUGGGAGCACAGAUCAUUUUAAUAGUAUUUACCCUCCCCCACAUGGAAAGAUAUAGUACACUCCAACGCUCUACAUCCACCCUCAUUUUUCUAGUAAUGGUUCAAAAUUUAUCUUAAUCAAAUCAGUCUGUUGGGGUGGAAAAGUUAUUCCAAGGUACUUAAUACCCUUCUAGGCCAAGAAAACAUGCUAGAUGGAAAUGUAUUUUUAGGGCAAAAUGAAGAAAGUGUGAGGGCUUCCGACUUUGUCCAAUUGACCUUAUAACCAGAAAUAUUUGAGAAUGUUAAUUAAGGAGAGCAAAAGGGGGAGGGAAUUCACUGGGUCUGACAUAAAAAGAAGAAUAUCAUCAGCAUACAACAUCAGUUUAUGACAACUAUGUCCUACAGUAAUACCAGGAAAAUUAACCUCUUUCUGAAUAGCAGCCGCUAAUGGUUCUAAGGCUAAUGCAAAGAGUAGAGGAGACAGGGGGUCCCCUGUCUGGUCCCUCUUUUAAGUUCAAAUGGUUGGCCAAUUACCCCAUUUGUUAGGACAGAUGCCGUUGGCCGAGCAUAUAUAAGCCGAAUCCAGUCUAUAAAAUUUUUACUAAUGCCAAAGCUUUCCAAAGUUAGAAACAGAUAUUGCCGCUCAACUCUGUCGAAUGCCUUUUCUCCAUCCAACGACAAAGCAACCACAGGUGUCAGGCUUUUCCGAACUGCCCACAUAAUGUCUAUAAGUCUUCUAAUAUUGUCAUCUGAGGUGUGAGAAUAUAUAAAUCCAACUUGAUCCGAAUGAAUUAAUGAGGUUAGUACUCGGUCCAAACGACUAGCUAGGAUUUUUGAUAAUAUUUUACUAUCAUAUGAUGUUAAGCUAAUAGGUCGAUAAUUUUUGCAUUCUGAAGGUUCCUUGUCUUUUUUCAGGAUAAGAGUGAUAACCGCUUAUGAAAGUGUAGGAGGCAACCUUUGUCUGUUAAAUGAUUCAUUAUAAGUAUUCAAAAGCAGAGGGGAUAGCUCUUAAGGAAACGUUUUAUAAAACUCAGCUGUGAAGCCGUCUAACCCGGGAGCCUUACUUGAGGGUAGAUGUUUAAUCACCUCGACUAUUUCUUCAAUAGUAAUGGGGCAGUCUAGAUCCUAAAGUUGAUGUGAUGGUACUCAGAUUUAAUUCUUUCAGAUUUAAAUCUGAAAGAAAUUCCUUGAUAUUUUCUUGUGAGGCUGUUGAUUCUGAGCUAUAGAGAUUCUUGUAGUAAUCACUAAAUACUGCAUUUAUUUCAUGUCGAUCCGAAACAAGCUCACCAGUUCUAUUCCUAAUAGCUGAGAUGGAACUCAUCGCCUCUCUUUGCUUAAUGUAUCUAGCCAAUAGUCUACCUGCCUUAUCUCCCUCCUCAAAGUAGUUUUGCUGAAAUAGGCUAAAUUCAGCUUUUUCUGACAUAAUAGUAUUAUAUUCUUACUUUAGCUUUGUAAGUUUGUUCAAGGUUACCAAAGAAUAAUCCCUUUUAAAACUAGACUCUGUAAUCUCAAUUUGUCUUUCUAAAUUAAUUAGCUUAAUAGUGUUUGGCUUCUUUUUAGAUGAAGCCUGCUGGAUGAUGUAACCUCUUAAAUAUGCCUUUAGCGCCUCCCAAGCCACUCCAGCAGAGGGAGCUGAGGCAAUAUUCCUAUCGAUGUACAACUUGAUUUGUGAUCUAAGAGUCUUUGAAAGCCUCAUCUAGUAAGAGACUAGAAUUUAGCCUCCAUCUAGGACUUCUCACAGUUGUAUUAAUCGCAAACAUAAAAAGGUAAAUAGGGCUAUGAUCUGACAAUAUCAUACUCCCAAUGCUCGUGGAGGCCACAGCUGUCAUUAUUGGCUUAGAUACCAGAAAAAUAUCAAUUAUUGAAAGAGAUUGAUGUGGGGGAGAGUAAAAAGUAUAAUCCCUACCGGAAGGAUUUUGCAACCGCCAAACAUCCGCAAGGCAACAAGCUUUGCACAUACCUUUAAGCGCAAUGUGUGUUUUUGGAAUGGGUGUUAUUGUAGUGCUUUGGUCUAAAGUUGUGUCCAUCACCUAAUUAAAGUGUCCUGCUACAAUAAUGGGGUAAUUUCCUAGAUCGAUUAGUUUCUUUUCCAGCUGUCCGAAAAAGGAAGGGUCAUCAACAUUUGGUGCAUACACAUUUGCCAAAAUGUUAUAACCUUGGAUCUCGCAUAGCAUUAGAAGCAUCCUUCCCUCCUUAUCCAUGCUCUGCUUCAGACAUUUAAAUUGCAAACGUCUAUCAAUAAGAAUGGCUACACCCCUAUUACUGCUCCCACAACCUGCACCCACAAAUCCUACCCUGCCUGCACCCAGUCUGUAUGAUUCCAGCAAAGACAGAUGUGUUUCCUGGAUAAAAACAAUUUGGCAAUUUUUAGCUCUAAUAAAGGACAAUAUCUUUUUUCUCUUUAUGACAUUAUUAAGACCUUUGACAUUCCAGCUCAUGAGACUCAAGUUAUUACUACUGAAUGAGAUAUUUAAAAUGCAUAUGGAGUAGGCAAUACUGUAACCUUAUAGGUAUCGGCGGGCUGGACAAAACAAACAGAAAAAAAACAAUAUAAAAAAAAAGAACAAGGCAACAACAUUCACAAAUUCCAACAACGUAGAACGACCCCCCAUCCAUCCACACACACACACACCCAAACAACAGUCCAAAUAUAUCUAACCAGCUAUGUUUAUACAACCAACCCUUACUCUGGUCCGUCAUCACACUUAACCUAGACCACCCCAAAACUCCCCCCACCUCCCAACCCGUCCAAGAAGUGCGGGUGACAUACCCCCCCACACCCCCAAAAAAAGAGUAAGGUGCAAAAACAGGUGUAAAUUUGAAUGAAAUGCACAAAACUUAGAAUUAUAGUGAUCCUUUCCAGCCUUAAAACCCAGCAGACAGAUACAAAUUU